rnacentral:misc_RNA from 1 species
AGCAGCAGCAGCAGCAGCAGCAGUACUCGCAGAAGCAGUAGCAGCACGAGCAGCUGAGUGUCUCAAUCGUGCAUUUACCCGCUGCUGCUGUCGGAAUUUCUGCAGUCAUUUAACAAUCAUUUGGUGUAUCGAUCUGCCUCGCGCGGCAUAGUGUCUCAGUCACGUUUUCGCCGUUGUUAUUGGUGUUGUUAUUGUUAGUAUUGUUAUUGCUAAUCAUUUAAAUGUUGAAAUUGUUAUUGUUUACAGCAGCUAGUCAAUAGCAGUAGUGGUAGUAGUUAAUAAUAGAAGUGGCGAUGCGAGUCGUAUUGUUAUACACGAUAUGUUAAUGGUGGAGACUGAAGGUAGAUCACUCGAUUUAUACAUUAGGACGGUAACUAAUCGAUAACUGUUCAGUGGAUUGUCGAUAUUGCAUAUGACGAAUCAUAGUGAAAGAAGUUUUUGCGGUAUUCGCCCUUGUCGUUUGGAAUAAUGUGAAAUGUGAACAAGUGAAUUUUUUAUAACUCUGCAAACAUUCCCAGCAGUAUUGAAGAGGAAGGACUAACAUUAAGAUGUGGCCAACUGGUGGGAGGUUAGUAAAAGAGGACCAGAGUUCCACUGGCGGAUGAAACUGAAAGGCGACUGAUCGUCAAGCAUAGAUUGACAUUCAAGCUAAAGUUAAUCUCAUGCUGAACGACAGAAGGUUUGAUGAUGAAACGGGUGCCGACCCAGAACGCAACGGAAAUGGAGUUCCUACUUCGAUUUAUACUCAGGUCCCUCAUCUUGAGUCAACGAUGGACUCUUUCACAUAUGACCCAUCGCUUGUCACGGUUGGAAACAUGUCGAACCUUGGGAACCUUGGUAGCCUGGGCAAUAAAGAAGUUCGUUAUGCUUCAUUCUCAACAGUUCCAGCUUCGCUACCAUCGAUGCUUCCGCCACCGUUGCCACCACCCCCACCACCUCUUCCUCUUCACAUGCAACAACGCAUUUAUUCGCGUUCCAUGACAUCCUUACCACCGGAGCCUUUCAUGCUGAUGCGUUCAAAAGCUUUGAACAGAAGAGUCUGCAUUAAUGUCGGUGGUGUUAAACACGAAGUUCUUUGGCGUACUCUGGAAAGACUGCCUCACACUCGUCUCGGACGUCUCCGAGACUGCAAUACUCACGAAGCAAUAACUGAGCUUUGUGACGAUUACUCGCUUAUAGACAACGAAUUUUUUUUCGAUCGACAUCCCAAGUCGUUUAGCUCAAUAUUAAAUUUCUACAGGACUGGGAAACUCCAUUUAGUUGACGAGAUGUGCGUUCUAGCAUUCAGCGAUGACUUAGAGUACUGGGGUAUCGACGAGCUUUAUCUCGAAAGCUGCUGCCAGCACAAAUACCACCAACGGAAGGAGCACGUUCACGAGGAAAUGAGAAAGGAGGCCGAGUCUCUUCGGCAACGAGAGGAGGAGGAAUUCGGGGAAGGAAAAUGUGCGCAAUAUCAAAAAUGUCUCUGGGAUCUUCUCGAAAAACCAACAACCUCUAUAGCUGCCAGGGUGAUAGCUGUGAUAUCAAUACUCUUUAUUGUGCUAUCAACCAUCGCAUUAACUCUCAACACCAUUCCUAGUAUGCAAGUGAAUGACGAAAAAGGAAACUUUCAAGACAAUCCACAACUUGCAAUGGUGGAAGCGGUUUGCAUCACUUGGUUUACACUUGAGUAUGUACUUAGGUUCAGUGCCUCCCCUGACAAGUGGAAGUUCUUUAAGGGAGGCCUAAACGUAAUAGACCUUCUCGCAAUACUUCCUUACUUCGUGUCUCUAUUCCUCGUCGAAACAAACAAGAACGCAACGGACCAAUUCCAGGAUGUGCGUCGUGUAGUUCAGAUAUUUCGUAUAAUGCGCAUUUUGAGGAUACUGAAGCUUGCACGCCAUUCAACCGGGCUCCAAAGCUUGGGCUUUACGUUACGUAAUUCAUACAAAGAGCUCGGCCUGUUGAUGCUAUUUCUUGCAAUGGGCGUCUUGAUAUUCUCAAGUCUCGCUUAUUUUGCCGAAAAGGAAGAACCUGGAACUAAAUUCAUAAGCAUUCCCGAGACAUUUUGGUGGGCAGGAAUCACCAUGACAACCGUAGGCUAUGGAGAUAUUUACCCAACUACUCCCCUCGGCAAAGUGAUUGGAAGUGUAUGUUGUAUAUGUGGUGUCCUGGUAAUUGCGUUACCCAUUCCAAUUAUCGUCAAUAAUUUUGCCGAGUUCUACAAGAAUCAGAUGAGGCGCGAAAAAGCACUGAAGCGCCGAGAGGCUUUGGAAAGGGCGAAGCGAGAAGGAAGCAUUGUUUCCUUCCACCACAUCAACCUGAGGGACGCCUUCGCUAAGAGUAUAGAUCUCAUCGACGUCAUCGCUGACACGGGUCAGAACAUGUCGGGAAUAGAUGGAAACAGCACGGAGGGUGAAUCCGCGUGUGGUCGAGGCCCUGCGCAGACUGGUGCGGGAUGCUACCGUAACUACGAGCAUUGCAGCAUAUCUACUCAUCGCCGAAGCGCCUCAACGUGCUUGCCAACAUUGCCGAAUGAUCUGUCAACCCCGGAGAGUCCGAACCAUCGUCUGCUUGACUUUGCCACCAGUUCAUCACCUAAUAGGAACGAUCACUAUUUCCAAGAUGAUAUUCCAAUCCAGCCAUCAACUCAAGGGAAUACCACUCCUAGUGAUGAAGAGAAGAAGGAUUCCAGAAAAUUUGACAAAAUUGAAGAACUGCCUAGUGAAUUCGAAUGCUGUUUCUGUACUACUAAGGCGUAUAAGGAUUUUAGAGAUGCUGAGAAUCUCAUGCCUUUGGCUACAAGUGAUUUCCGGAAUCCAGUUUGCCAGGAACUGAGAGCCCUGCGCGACAGCAAUGCAGAAUCAAACAGUUUCGGAUACAAUCAGAAUUCACCAAAUCAAGACAAUUACUCGAAUUCAUGUUUUAAAAAUAAUAACGAGUCAUGCAGCGCGGACAGCACGGAUACCUUUGCCAGUUGCCACACACAUUUUUUCAAUUCUCAAGGUGACCUCACGGAGGAAGGUGAUAGUAACUUGUACAUAAACCCAUUGGAAAGUACAGACAAGUGCAACAGCUGUCAUCGUCAACAGUCCACUUCAACGAACACGACGAAGUCUACGACAACAGGCGUUCUGCUACACAUAUCCAAUGUACAAUCUUCCGAGCAGCCCGCGCAGACAUUAAAUCCACCGAAUGAAGAUGGCAAAGAAAAUUUCAGCGAUACCUCUGUACCUAAGCAUAAGAAAACUCGGAUUCAACAAAGCGGAAAGCAACGCACCCAUUUUGGCGUUAAUCCUGAUUCUUUAUCGAGUAUUGUUGGAGUCUCGACGGAAAAUACUGUCACAGGAGAUAACAAUAACCAAUACGGACUGAUCGACAGCCUCAGAAAUGGCAUCCUGACACCAGCAGAUUACUUUGCCUCUCCAUCCCGAGUGAUUAACCAUCAUUUGUUUGGAAAUGUUGGUGGCUUGAAACAUUCCUACUCUGGGAAAUCUAUUGGAAGUAAGCUGUCCUUAUCCAGCAACUCGAUAGAUAGUGAAACAAUGCCGUUUUUAGACCGGCACCGUGUUUCCAAAUCAAUUCUAAAAAAAUCAGAUAUCAGCAAUGUUCGAUACAACAACGGCUGGGACUCAGAUAAGGAAAAACUGAUAUCAGAAAAUACGUCUGCUACCAGCGUGUAUGACAGCGAAGGUGAUAUUCGGACAGAUUCGUUACUGAUAAAAGGUCCAGUCCUCAAGCUGUCGCAGUCAUCUGAACAACAAUCUUCUGGGAUAAUUUUCCAGACGAAGAAUGAAAGCAAUCGAAACGACGUUUCAGAUCAUAUCAGUACAAAAAACUUUACAGUUGCAUUAUCGAAAACUCUUUUUGACUCACAUAAAGAUGCACGAGACGAAAUGGUCACAGACAACAAAGUCAAAGAGUGUAACGACGAUAGUGCACAAGAGGAUUACAAAAAGAGCGAAAGUGCGACAGGGAAAAGUCAACACAAUACUCUGCUGAUUUGUCCGCCGCAGUCAAACGAUGAAAAUAUUAGGGAAAAUAGCAUCCAUCGUGAAAGGAAGAAGCCGACACCGCAUAAACCGAACACGAAUCAAACCACCGCUAUUCGUUUGAACACAAAUUCAAACUGUUGUAGCUUCGCUACGUAGCAGAGAAGUCGUUACGUAUAUGUGUAAUAAAGAAUGGAAUUAAUCUACAAGGGAGACUGGAAGUUCUGAUAUCUCCUUAAGGCAAGACCCUAGUGAAAUUUGAAAAUUCGACUUUCUAACAUUUUGGAUGGGUAAAUCCGGAGCACUUUGGUAAAAUAUGGUUGUGGCGUCAGUAGCUAUUAUUAUUAUUAUUAUUAUCUUCAAAAAUUCAGAAUAAAAGUCAAGUAAAAGUAAAAGAGAGAAAUGCAAAUGAUUUUCGCAUGGUUGUAAAUUUAUAGUAAGAUAACUUGGAACAAGAUCAAGAUUACUAUAUAUAUUGUUUUACACGAAACUGUCCACACAUAGUAAGAUUAACUAGGUAUCCUUGACAGGUCAACUGUAACAUCAUCAUCGUAUGAGACCUAUAAAUGUAAUUACAUUAUCCACAACUUCACAGUUGCAGUAUCAAGUGUGUGCAGGUACUCAUAAUUAUUCAUUAGUGAAUUCGUGUACAAAUAAUCCCAGUAACAUUCAAAGCUACACUGCAAUAAAUCAUAAUAAUAACAAUAUUACUGACAUAAUUAAAGAGCUUCAUAUAAGAGGGUUGUGAAUAAUUGAGAAUCAACCGUAUAGUUUUUUAAAUGAUUUGUUUGAUUUCCAGUCCCCGUGAAACUUUAUCAUUCAAAGAAAUCACGAAAUCCAUAGAUAUCAAAAAAUCUCGACACCUUUCUUUCGAAGCAUGUAUCUCAGAAACUACUGAUUUUUGGGAAUUGUGUCCAUGAGAACUUUUGAUUGGGAGGAUAUGUCCUAUAACAUACUGAAAAUCCAGCCAAUUCGACCGGGAUCCAAUUUGCGUAAGGAUUCUGCGGGGUCUUUUAUCGUUCAAUGGACCAUCCGUUGGCACCUAGUUGCCUCUACAAUAUACAAAUCCUAACCACACCGACGCACUAACCGACGCAACGCAACGAAUGCAUACAAAGGACAGAUCACACCCAUGACGGACGAACCAACAUCGAGACUAAUCCUUUUGUCGUUCCGGCAUCAUCCACUGCCGCAGGACAUCGGUAUAAAUAGGAAAGCCUCGGACACGGCCGGCAGAUACAAACGUAAUUGGGUUUUUGUAAAACAUGUUCUCUGAAAAACCAAUAUAUCAUAUAAUACUAAGUAUAUGAUAUUUUAAAAAAACGAACUAUACUUACUUUAACAAAUAAUACCAUGUUCACAAAAAUUGAGUUAUGUUCAAAGGACAGGCAUCUAAAUUACGUAGAACCCGUUGUAAAACAACCAAGAAUUAAAAACAAUAAAAACCUUUGAACCUUGAACGGAGUGCAGUAGUAGGAUGGCAUAGCGCCUCUUCGACUCAUUUCACGUCGUUAAACUAUAUAAAGCUCAUCCUGAAUCUGCAGCCUAAUUUAGCUUAAUUUAUACAUAGGCGAACCCCCUUUUCGAAGUAACAAUAGAAAUAAUAAAAAGGGAGUAAUGCAUACACGGAGAGACAUUUUAUAGAAAGAUUUAUUAAAAUCACGACCAGAUUUUACUAUUCUUUCUCACAGUCUGGGGACAUAUCGGCAUUUUAUCACAAACUCCUAUGUUGCGUGGUAAUUCUCAAGGUUACCAAUUGUUAUAGGAAUCUAACCUACAAAACUUUUCAUUUCUAUAUGUAUAUAUAUUAUGGGGAUUACACGGCAGAUAUUAUAUUUACAUCACAUUUGAUAAUUAGAGGGUUACGUCAGCCCCCUGACACACGCUGCUAAAAGUGGUUCGCAAAAUUUCCCUCGAUUCUGCCGCCAAUCUCCACCACUAGUGG